rnacentral:rRNA from 1 species
UACGUAGGGUGCAAGCGUUGUCCGGAAUUAUUGGGCGUAAAGAGCUCGUAGGCGGUUUGUCGCGUCUGCUGUGAAAACGCGAGGCUCAACCUCGCGCCUGCAGUGGGUACGGGCAGACUAGAGUGCGGUAGGGGAGAUUGGAAUUCCUGGUGUAGCGGUGGAAUGCGCAGAUAUCAGGAGGAACACCGGUGGCGAAGGCGGGUCUCUGGGCAAUAACUGACGCUGAGGAGCGAAAGCGUGGGGAGCGAACAGG